rnacentral:rRNA from 1 species
AGUGAACGCUGGCGGUAGGCCUAACACAUGCAAGUCGAACGGCAGCACAGUAAGAGCUUGCUCUUACGGGUGGCGAGUGGCGGACGGGUGAGGAAUACAUCGGAAUCUACUUUUUCGUGGGGGAUAACGUAGGGAAACUUACGCUAAUACCGCAUACGACCUACGGGUGAAAGCAGGGGAUCUUCGGACCUUGCGCGAUUGAAUGAGCCGAUGUCGGAUUAGCUAGUUGGCGGGGUAAAGGCCCACCAAGGCGACGAUCCGUAGCUGGUCUGAGAGGAUGGUUCGCCAACACGGAAAUGGGACAACGUCCAGAACUCUAAGGGAGGGAGCAGGUGGGAAAUUUUGGCCAAGGGCCGAAGGCUGGAUCAAGCAAUCCGGGGUGGUUAAGAAGGGCUUCCGGGUGGUAAGCCCUUUUGUUGGGAAAGAAAAGCAGCAGGUUAAUACCCCGCUGUUCUGACGGUACCCAAAGAAUAAGCACCGGCUAACUUCGUG